rnacentral:rRNA from 1 species
GACGAACCGUGCAAACGUUGUUCGGAAUCACUGGGCGUAAAGGGCGCGUAGGCGGCCAUUCAAGUCAGAGGUGAAAGCCCAAGGCUCAACCUUGGAACUGCCUUUGAUACUGUUGGCUUGAGACCGGUAGAGGUAAGUGGAACUGCGAGUGUAGAGGUGAAAUUCGUAGAUAUUCGCAAGAACACCAGUGGCGAAGGCGGCUUACUGGACCGGUUCUGACGCUGAGGCGCGAAAGCGUGGGGAGCAAACAGG